UCCAAUCUAAAUGCUAGGCAAUUGGUUCUAUUGCAAUGUUUAAUCAAUCCCGACUUGUGUGGACUUGUACACGAGCCCUUGUGUCUGUCAGUAUUCAUUAACUAAGAAUAUCCUACCAAGAGUACAAGGAUUUGGGUGGACCGUACACAAGCCUCUUAUGUAUGUCAUUAUCAUUGACUAAGAGCAUCCCACUAGUGGUUUUGGAGUGCAAAAAUCUGGGUGGCUCCCAUUCUCUACUCCAACCUAAAUAUAAGGCAGAUUCUUUCUCAGUGAUAUAUGUGUUCAGUGACUAAAGUCUUCUUUUAAUUAGUAACCACUUCAUUAGAACUGUGGCAAGAUUUUUUGUGUAAGCUAGUCUUGCAUCUGGGUCUCCUUAUUGUAAAGAAACCAAGGAUUUUCAGCUGCUGCUGCUGCCGCCCAUGGGAUUGAAGUUGUAGUGGAUUUUAAGUCAGUCGAACAUCCAAUUGAACCUCUAGACACUGAUUAGCCAGUCAGAUGUCCAUUGCCCGAACCUUCAAUUCUAAAUGUAAGCACAAACCCAACUACUGAUUCUCUAUUCUGCUGUAACUAUAUAUGAGAAAGGAGGGUUCCCUGGUAUUUUUCUGAACAAUGGUUCUGCUUUUGCAGUUUCACAGGAACAUAAUGGACUCAUUAUCCAACAUUGGAGAGUUUGUUAAAGUUACCCAGUUCGGUGGUCAAAGAUCAGUUACAUGCUCUGAGAUCUAAACUAUUGCAUCCUACUUCCAUGAUUGGAUGACGUGUAUCAACUUGAUUGGUGCCUCCAUAUUACCGGGUAGAAGGAAUAUGGCCGAUGCUUGGGAAAGGUAUUUUUGGACAGGUGUAUGUGGGGCAUCAAAUUUUUGCUGCUCAUGGUGGCCUAGAUAGGAUUACUGGCCCUGUUGCUAUAGAGGUUUGAAAAAUUCUUAAAUUUUUUUAUUGUUUGGUAGAGCUGUGUAUUCGAUUUUCCUUCUUAAUGGACAUUGCAUUACUCCAAUCAAAUGAUUCUACUAAUUUGAUCAAUAGUCAUUAAAAUGAAUGAUCCAGUCAAUGGCCUACAAAAUUGGUCCAUGACUAACUGAUUUUCACCAACCAUCCUAUGGACUACACGUUUGAUUUCAUGGGCUAUUUUAUUGAUUGUGGAGCUCAAGAUCACUUUGUCAGUGGAAUUGACUGAUUCAGGAAUUGUGGAAUUUACUUUUUUCCUUGUUUGACACCAUGCAUUUGGACCAUCUAAUUGCCUAAUUUGUUAAUUGGGUAAAGGGUUGUUGCUCAAAUGUCUCAACAACACACUUCAUGAAUUGGGUGGUAUUAAAUCUACCGAAUUCAUGAAUUACCUGUUGGUGCAAAACUUCUUGCAGGCUUCAUUUUUUCUUCUUUCUUUACAGUGAGCUUUGAAUAUUGGUCUUUCAUAUUCAUAUGCAUUGGGCUUCAAUCAAUGCAGGGGUAUUACCCAAUGGUUAAACAGCUAUCGAACUUUGAGGUUCUCAAUCAGGCCAUAAACUUAAAUGUUAUGAUUGUCCCAUCAAGGAGAUUUUCAAUGCUUGGUCCAUCUAUUAUGGGUCCAACAGACUGAUGGUGGGCCCCACUUGUAGAUAGCCUUGGUUGAAACACAUGAAGAAAAUGAGGUGUACUCUGAACCUUGUGUGAGCCCCCACAAGAUGUAAAAGCUUAUAUCCAUCGAUCUGGCUGCACAGGGAGAGCUGGUAAUAGAGUUUGAUAUCCAUCGAUCUGGUAAGGACUGGUUGCACAUUUACUACAUGAGUUCUCUUAUAUUAGGCAAUAGUGUGAGCCCCCACGAGAUGUAAAACCUAAAGAAGCAUUUGUUGAUGAGUUUUCUUAUACUAGGCAAUGAAGAGUGGUAGACAGAUUUUUAAUGCAGUUUCUAGAGCUUAAAAUCAUAUACUUUCUAAUUUGAAAACUUGCAGUGAUUUGUUCUUAAGUUUGUAUUGUACUUUCAAGUGUGUCCAAGGUAUCUUAUUUUUAAGCUUAACAAUGAGUCUUU